GAGACAGAGACAGAGAGAAAGGUCUUCCUUUGCUGUUGGUUCACCCUCCAAUGGCCGCCAAGGCCAGCACGCUGCGGCCGGGUCACCACGCUGAUCCAAAGGCAGGAGCCAGGUGCUUUUCCUGGUCUCCCAUGGGGUGCAGGGCCCAAGCACCUGGGCCAUCCUCCACUGCACUCCUGGGCCACAGCAGAGAGCUGGCCUGGAAGGGGGCAACCAGGACAGAAUCCGGCGCCCCAACCGGGACUAGAACCUGGUGUGCCGGCGCCGCUAGGCGGAGGAUUAGCCUAGUGAGCCACGGCGCCGGCCGACAAAGGUUUUCUUGAAAGACACUACAAGGAUCAAUAACCAUGAAAACAUGUGAACCUAUAAGAAAUGAGAAGACAGCAGUGAGAGGACAGAACCUGUCACCUAGAGCUUUGUCCGUCCCCAGCUGCUAUUACCAGUAACCUGCUCAUUGGUGCAAAGGUCCAGCACCUUGUAUGAAGCCCAGGAAUAAUUAAGGACUACUAUGAGUCAUGUUUCUGCUCCAUUCCCAGCCUGAAAUCAGAGAUGUUAGGAAAGACUGGUACAUAUAAAUGGAAUCCUGAAUCCAAGUAGUGGAGGGCAUCAGGAAAUUUCUAGGCCUUGUACAACCUGGCUCAAGUUAGCAUACAGUUACUUUAGUUCUCCUAAUAAAGAUGCUUUUCUUUAAAAAGAAAAACUAUAGGCCGGCGCCGCGGCUCACUAGGCUAAUCCUCUGCCUAGCGGCGCCGGCACACCGGGUCUAGUCCCGGUUGGGGCGCCGGAUUCUGUCCCGGUUGCCCCUCUUCCAGGCCAGCUCUCUGCUGUGGCCCGGGAGUGCAGUGGAGGAUGGCCCAGGUGCUUGGGCCCUGCACCCCAUGGGAGACCAGGAAAAGCACCUGGCUCCUGGCUCCUGCCAUCGGAUCAGCGCGGUGUGCCGGCCGCAGUGCGCCGGCCGCGGCGGCCAUUGGAGGGUGAACCAACAGCAAAAGGAAGACCUUUCUCUCUGUCUCUCUCUCUCACUGUCCACUCUGCCUGUCAAAAAAAUAAAUAAAAAAUUUAAAAAAAUUAAAAUUAAAAAGAAAAACUAUAGAAGAUUGAUAAAUUGAAAUAUUAAUGUACCUGGGAAAGCAGUGAAAGAUGGCCCAAGCACUUGGCAGGGGAAUGGAUGAAGAGCCAGGCUCCUGGCUUCAGCCUGGCCCAGCUCUGGCUGUUAUGGAUCCAGCAGAUGGAAAUCCCUCUCUGUCACCCUCUCUUUAUAACUCUGCCUUUCAAAGAAAUAAAUCUUUAAAAAAAUUUUUUAAGAUUUGUUUUAUUUCUUUGAAAAGCAGAGUUAACAGGGAGAGGGGGAGAGGAAAUAAAAAGAUCUUCCACCUGCUGAUUCACCCCCAAAAUGGCCACACCCAGGAGCUUCAUCCAGGUACCCCACAUGGGUGCAGGGGCCCUAGGGCUUGUGCCAUCUUCCUCUGCUUUCCCAGGCACGUUAGCAGGGAGCUGGAUCAGAAGUGGAGCAGCUGGGAUGCAAACUGGCACCCAUAUGGGAUGCCGGCAUUACAGGCAGCAACUUAACCCAUUAUGCCACAGCACUGGCCCCUAAAAACUUUUAAAAGACACAUUAAUCUCUAGGGAGUUGUGUUGAGUGAGAAAAGCCAAUCCCAAAAUGUUACAUACUGUAUGAUUAAUUGUGGUGGAAUACAUGUAACAUAAAAUUUACCAUCUCUUAACAAUUUCCAAACUAUAGUUCUGUGAUACUAAUGGCACUUCCCUUGUUGGACAACCUCUACCACCAGCCAUCUCCAAAACCUCUUUAUUUUAUAAAACUGAAAACCUGGACCCAUUAAACAACAACACCCCAGAAUCUCCUUUCCCAAACCCCUGGCUAGCAUUGUUCUGUCUCUGUGAAUUUGACUGCUCUUGGUCCUCUACAAAGUGGAAUCAUCCAGUAUUUGUCCUCAUGUGACUGGCUUGUUUGACUUAACAUAUUGUUCAGGUUCAUCCCUGCAUUAUAGAAUGUGUCAGCAUUUCCUUUCCUUUCAGGCUGAAUAAUGUCCUAUUGUAUGCAGAUGUCACAUUUUCCAUUCAUGGGCUGAUGGGCACUUGGGCUGCUUCCACCUUUUGGCUAUUGUGAAUAAUGCUGCUGUGAACAUGGGAAUACAAAUAUCUGCUCAAGGCCUUGCUUUCAGUUCUUUUGUGUAUGUACCCAGAAGUACAAUUACUGAACAAUGUAGUGAUGCUGUUUUUUAUUUAAAAGCUUUUCCUUUUUAAAAAAGAUUUAUUUCUUUUUACAGAUUUAUUAUAUUUAUUUGAAAAGUAGGGCAACAAAGAGAGAAAAACAGAGAUCUUCAGUCUGUUGGUUCACCGCCUAAAUGGCUACAGUGGCCAGGGCUGGGCCAGGCUGAAGCCAUCUGACAAGGGAGGCAGGCACCCAUGUACUUGAGCCAUCUUCUACUGCUUUCCCAGGUGCAUUAGCAGAGAGCUGUAUCAGAAGCUGAUAAAUGGGGGAUCUGUGCUCCCAUGCCACCUUAAUCCACUCAACUGCUUGCCCUAGUAAUGCUAUUUUUAAUUUGUUGUUUCCCACAACAGCUACACUGUUCUACAUUCCCACCGGUAAUACAUAAGGAUUCCAACAUCUUGGCAUCCUUGCAGACACUUUUUAUUUACUUUGUUGAUUUUUAUUAUUAUUAUUAUUUUUGACAGGCAGAGUAGACAGUGAGAGAGAGAGACAGAGAGAAAGGUCUUCCUUUACCGUUGGUUCACCCUCCAAUGGCCGCCGCGGCCGGCCGGUGCACUGCGGCCGGCGCACCGCGCUGAUCCGAAGCCAGGAGCCAGGUGCUUCUCCUGGUCUCCCAUGUGGGUGCAGAGCCCAAGCACUUAGGCCAUCCUCCACUGCACUCCCUGGCCACAGCAGAGAGCUGGCCUGGAAGAGGGGCAACCAGGACAGAAUCCAGUGCCCCGACCGGGACUAGAACCUGGUGUGCCUGUGCUGCAAGGCGGAGGAUUAGCCUAUUGAGCCACGGCGCCGGCCCCAAUUUUAUUAUUUUUAAGAUUCAUUUUUAUUUAUUUGGAUGGCAGAAUUAGAGAGAGAUAGGCUUAACUUAUUCUACCACCAUGUCAGCCUUUUUAUUUUUAUAGUAAUCCACCUAAUAGGCAUGAGGUAUGUAUAACUUUUUUUUUUUUUUUUUUUUUUGACAGGCAGAGUGGCAGUGAGAGAGAGACAGAGAGAAAGGUCUUCCUUUACAGUUGGUUCACCCUCCAAUGGCCACUGCGGCCGGCACGUCACACUGAUCCAAAGCCAGGAGCCAGGUACUUAUCCUGGUCUCCCAUGCAGGUGCAGGGCUCAAGGACUUGGGCCAUCCUCUGCACUCCUGGGCCACAGUAGAGAGCUGGACUGGAAGAGGGGCAACUGGGACAGAAUCCGGCGCCCCGACCGGGACUAGAACCCAGUGUGCCGGUGCCACAAGGCAGAGGAUUAGCCUAUUGAGCCGCAGUGCCGGCCAUGUGUAACAUUUUUGAAAUGAUUACAUUUUAGGAAUGGAGAACAGGUUGUUGGUUGCCAGGGAAAAAGAGGGGUGGAAGAAAUGGGCAUGGUUGUAACCAUAGGGAUCCUUGUAUUAAAACUAGUUGUGGCCGGCGCCACGGCUCACUAGGCUAAUCCUCCGCCUUGCGGCACAGGCACACCAGGUUCUAGUCCCGGUUGCCCCUCUUCCACGUCAGCUCUCUGCUGUGGCCCGGGAGUGCAGUGGAGGAUGGUCCAAGUACUUGGGCCCUGCACCCCAUGGGAGACCAGGAGAAGCACCUGGCUCCUGGCUUCGGAUCAGCGCGGUGCGCUGGCCGCGGUGGCCAUUGGAGGGUGAACCAACGGCAAAAGGAAGACCUUUCUCUCUGUCUCUCUCUCUCACUGUCCACUCUUCCUGUCAAAAAAAAAAGAAAAGAAAAUAGUUGUUCAGUCCCUACCUUGGGGAUAGAUGAAAUCAUGUAUGUGAUAAAUUCCUGUUGAACCUAACACACACUACAGACAAAUGAGCACAAGUAAAACAGGAAAUCAGAAUAAAAAUGGGUGGAUAUAUCAGUGUCAUCAUCUAGUCACAUUUGGUUGUGUCUGUGAUGUUAUACUAUGGUUUUGUAAAAUGUCACCAUCAGGAAAAGUGUGCAAAGUAUGUAAGAUAGCUUCAUACUGUUUCUUAAAACUGCAUGGGAAUCUACAAUUAUCUCAAUAAAAGGGUCAACUAAGAGGCAAGCAUUUAGCCUAGCAAUUAAGAUACCUGCAUCCCAUAUCAGAAUGUCAGUUUGAGUCCUGCCUCUGGCUCCUGACUCCAGCUUCCUGUUAAUGCAGGCAACAGUGAUGGCUCAAGUAACUGGCUUCCUGCCACAUCAGGCAGGAGGCUUGAAUUGAGUUCCCAGCUCCCAGGCUAGCCCUAGUCACUGUAGGCAUUUUGUGAAUGAACCAGUAGAUGGAAUCUCUCUGUCUCUCUCUGUCCCUCCCCUGCCCUCUCUCUCUCCUGCCAUCUCAAAUAACUAAAAACUUUUGCACCAUGAAGGGGGAAGGCAUUUGGUACAGUAAUUAAGAUAUCACUUGGUGUCACAGAACAAAGUGACAGGGAACAAACGCCCGCAAUUCUGCUUUGGUGUGGUGGGUGUGUGUGAAUAAACGAGGCGUGGCAGCGGCAGCCUCAGUGCAUGGGGAAGCGGGCAGUAUGGCCAAUGAAGCACCCACAGCAGCCGCCACCCACCUCCAGGAGUUGCUGCUGCAGCGGCUCCUGCAGAGCCACGUGGCCUGCACCAGGGCACCGAGCCCAUCCAGGCCUGCUGUAGGUGCUGCCGCCUCCUGGAGAUGGCCUGGAAAGCCACAAAGCCCACGAUGGUGUGCUCACACUCCUCGGUCCCUGUAGCAGGGUCAACUGGCCGCACCAGGCGCUGGACAGGCCCUCCAUGUGCCCACUUAAAGAGGACCCCGCACACACAGGCAAAUGAGCCCAGUGGGCAGCUGCAAGGCCUUGGGCUGGGGGAGGCUGGGGCUCAGGUACUGCAAAGGGAACCCACGGGGGGCUGGGCUAGGGGGUCUGCCAGUUGGUGCUCACUGCUAAUGUGCCUGGGAAGGCCACGGAAGAUAACCAAGUGCUUGGGUCUCUGCCACCAUGUGGGAGACCAGGGUGGACUUCCUGCCUCCUGGCUCUUGUGGUCAUUUGGGAAUUGAACCAGCAGAUCAAAGAGCUCUCUCCCUGUCAAAAAAAAUAAAAAAAAAAAUAAAAAAAAAAUAUAUAUAUAUAUGACUUGGGAGGCCAGCACUGUGCCAUAGUGGGUAAAGCCACUGCCUAUAGCAAUGGCAUCUCAUAUGGGCAGCAGUUUGAUAUCUGGCUGCUCCACUUCUGAUCUAGCUCCCUGCUAAUACACCUGGGAAAGCAGUGAAAGAUGGCCCAAGUCCUUGGGACCCUGCACCCAUGUGGGGGACCUGGAUGAAACUCCUGGUUUCUGCCUGACCCAGCCCUGGCCCUUGUGGCCAUCUGGGGAGUGAACCAGUAAAUGGAAGAUUCAUUGUCUUUCUCUGUCUGUCUGUCUAUUUCUCCCCACCUCACCCCCGCCUUUCCUUCUCUGUAAUGCUUUCAAGUAAAUCUAAAAAAAAAAAAAAAAAAAAAAAAAAAAAGAUAUUACUUGGGAUGCCUUCAUCACAGAUCUGAACACCUAAGUUCAAGUCCCAGGUGUUCUCCAGAUUCCUGCUAAUGUGCACCCUGGGAGGCAGUAGGUAGUGGGCCCCUGCCAUCUAUGUGAGACCUGGGGAUUCCAGGUUUUGGCUCCAACUUCAACUGUUCAAGUUAUUUGAGGAGUGAAUCAGCAGAUGGGAAACACACACACACACACACACACACACACACCCCUAAGUAACUAAAAUAAUUUUAAUUGUAAAUAAGACACACACACAAAGAAAAUUUAAAGGUAAACCUCAGAAUCAUGAUAAAAGAUAUUUGCAGUACAUAUGACUGGGGAAAAAAUUAGUCUUCAGAAUAUAUUUUAGAAAUCAAGAAGGAGAGGCCGGUGCCUGCUGUUCACUUGGCUAAUCUUCCACCUGCAGCACCGGCACCCCGGGUUCUAGUCCCGGUUGGGGCGCCAGGUUCUGUCUCGGUUGCUCCUCUUCCAGUCCAGCUCUCUGCUGUGGCCCAGGAAGGCAGUGGAGGAUGGCCCAAGUGCUUGGGUUCCUGCACCUGCACCGGAGACCAGGAGGAAGCACCUGGCUCCUGGCUUCGGAUCGGCGCAGUGCCCCAGCCGCAGCACACCAGCCAUAGCAGCCAUUUGAGGGGUGAACCAACAGAAAAGGAGGACCUUUCUCUCUGUCUCUCUAACGCUGCCGGUCAAAACAAAAAAAAAAAAAAUCAAGAAGGAGAAAAAAAAAAACAAACCAGAUAACCCAGCAGAAAAAUAGUCAAAUGAUGUGCUCAGGCACUACACAGAAUGGCCCAUUGAUAGAUGAAAAUGUGAGAGGCAGAUUAUAUUUUCCAAAGAUAAUGGCAACAGUAUCUUCUAUUCUACAUGUUUAUUUUAUAGUGGGACUUUGGCAGCCCUUCCAGUUGGGGGAGAGCCAAUACCUUCUUUCCUUGAAACUGGAUGGAUUUUUAUUUUUUUAUUUUUUAUUUGAAAGGCAGAGUUAGGGGCCUGUGCUGUGGCAUGGUAGGCUAAGCCUCCACCUGUGGCACCAGCAUCCCAUAUGGGUGCUGAUUCAUGUCUCCACUGCCCCUCUUCAGAUCCAGCUCUCUGCUAAUGGACAAGGAAAGCAAUGGAAGAUGGCCCAUGGGCUACUUCACUCACGUGGGAGACCCAGAAAAAACUCUUGGCUCCUGGCUUCGGUUCAGUCCAGCUUUAGCCAUUGUGGCCUCUUGAAUGAACCAGCAGAUGGAAGAUCUCUCUCUCUCUCUCUCUCUCUCUCUCUCUCUCUCUCUCUCUCUAACUCUACCUCUCAAAUAAAUAAAAUAUUUUUUUAAAAAAAGGCAGAAUUAAACUCUCCCAUCCACUGGUUCACUCGUCAGAUGGCUGCAAUGGCAGGGGCUGGACUAGGCUAAGCCAAGAGCCUGGCUUCAUUCAUGUCACCCUCAUGGGUGCAGGUGCCCAAGCACUUGGGCCAUCCUCUGCUGCUUUCCCAGGCACAUUAGCAGGUCGAUGGAUUAGAAGUGGAGCCGCUGGGACUCAAACUGGCUCCCAUUUGGGAUGCUGGUGUUGCAGGCAGUGGCUUAACCUGCUACGCCACAGCGCUGGCCCCUGCCUGGAUUUUUCUCACUACCUAGUCAAUAGAGCAUGACAGAAGUGACACUUUGCGACUUCUGAGGCUACAUCAUAAAGGACAGUGUAGCUUCUGCUUCAUUUUCUGGAAUACUCUGUUAUUGAGAGGCAAGGAGAGACAGCCAGACAGAGUUUCCAUCUGCUGAUUCACUCCCUAGACGCCCACACCUUCUGUGGCUGGGCCAGGCCGAAACUGGGAGCUUGGAACUCGAUCCAGGUUUCCUGUCUGGCUGGCAGAGACCCAACUACUCGAAUCAUCACCCGCUGCCUCCUAGGGUCUGCAGCAGCAGGAAACUGGAGUCAGGAACUGGAGCUGGGACCACAGCCCAGGUACUCUGAUGUAGAACAGGUGUCUCAACAAGUGUCUUAACUGCUGCCAGACACUGGCCCUUGGAAUAUUCUUUGAGCUUUCAGCCACCAGGGAAGUAGUCUGACUGUUCUGAGGUCAGUGCACUGUGAGCAAGUCCAGAGACCAAGGGGUAGGGCCUGGGCCGCAUGAGGAGAGAUACUUGACCAGGCCCAGCUUCUGUGGCUGCUGUCUGGCUGCAUAGGCAAGGAAGACCCCAAGCCAAUUCUGCCUAGCCAACUUUCUAAACUCCAGAACCCUGACACUGUGUGAGAUAGCAAAAGGACUGUUUAUUCUUUAAGCUUCUAAGAUUUGGGAUUAUUUGUUACACAGUAAUAGAUAAUGGGAAUAGCAUAGUAAUUGGAACUCUCCUGCAUUGCCUGUAGGGAUGUGUCUCUAUAAAACCACGUUCAAAAGUCUGUUUGACAGACUCUGUUAGAGCUCUGUUAGAGCUGUGGCACAAUGGUUAAGAUCCUGCUUGGCAUGCCAAAUCAGAAUAUCUGCAUUUAAGUUCUGUCUCCAUUUUAGCUCCCUACUAACGUACACCCUUGGAGGCAGGAGCUGAUGGCCCAGCUACUCAGGUUCCUGCUAUAUGUGUGGGAGACUCAGCUUUGAGUUCUGUGCUCCCAGCUCACCUCAAUCUCAGCUGUUGAAGGUAUCUGGAGAGUGAACCAAUAGAUGGAAGAUCUCUCUGUUUCUCUAUGUCUCUCUUCCUUUCAAAUAAAAAAAAAAUUUAAAGACUUAUUUGUUUAUUUGAAAGAUGGGGGGGGGGGCUUUUAUCUGCUGGUUCACUCCCAAAAUGAUCUCAAUGACUAGGGCUAGGCCAGACUGAAGCCAGGAGCCAGGAACUUUAUUCUCUUCUUCCAUGUUUGGCAGGGGUCCAAGUACUCAGGACAUCUUCCCCUGCCUUCUCAGGCACAUUAGCAUGAAGCUGGAUCAGAAGCAGAGCAGCUGGGACUCAGACUGGUACACCAGUAUGGGAUGCAGGCAGUGCAAGCAUCCCAGUGGCCUUAACCUGCUGUAUCACAAUGCUGGCCCUGAAAAUAAAUUGCAAAAAGAAAAUAAUCCAUUAAACUGAAUCUAAACAUUCCCUUUGCACUACACAGAAAUAUGCAUACAUGUAAGUACAAAAAUAUUCAUAGCAGGCCGGCGCCGCGGCUCACUAGGCUAAUCCUCCGCCUAGCGGCGCCGGCACACCGGGUUCUAGUCCCGGUUGGGGUGCCGGAUUCUGUCCUGGUUGCCCCUCUUCCAGGCCAGCUCUCUGCUGUGGCCCAGGAGUGCAGUGGAGGAUGGCCCAGGUGCUUGGGCCCUGCACCCCAUGGGAGACCAGGAAAAGCACCUGGCUCCUGGCUCCUGCCAUCAGAUCAGCGCGGUGCGCCGGCUGCAGCGCACCGGCCGCGGCAGCCAUUGGAGGGUGAACCAACGGCAAAGGAAGACCUUUCUCUCUGUCUCUCUCUCUCACUGUCCACUCUGCCUGUCAAAAAAAAAAAAUAUUCAUAGCAGCAUUACAGAUCAUGGCCCCCAAGUUCAAACAGCCAAAAUGUUCAUUAAUGGUACAAUGAAAAAGUGGUUUUACAGUCAUAAAAUGGAAUACUAUGCAGUAACAAAGAUAAACUAACUUCUACUACAUAGAACAACUUGAAUGAAUCUUGCAAACACAAAGUUGAAUGCAAGAAGCCAGACCCAAAUUAAUACAUAUUUUGUCAUUCCAUUAGAUAAAGUCCAAAAACCAAGCAAAGCCAACUUAUGACAUUAGAAGUCAGGGUAGAAGUCACCUGUGGGGGAAAAAAGAGAAAGGACAGAGAAAGGACACAGGAGGCUCCUGCAGUGUUCUGGUGAAGGGCUGGCAAUGUUCUGUCUCUUGCCCUGGGUGGUGGUUACAUGGGUGUGUCCAGUUUGUGAUAAUUCACAUAGACUUCCUAAGUAUCUUGUAUAAGGACACUUCCAGAGGUUCAUGCAAAAAAAUAGAAUUAAGAGAUAAGCUUAUCUUGAUGCACAAAAUUUUGAAAUCCAUGUAUAUGAGAGGUUUUCAAAAAGUUUAGGGAAAAUGUGUACUAUUAAAAAAAAACCAUACAUGGAUUUCAAAUUUUUUGCAUCAAAAUGAGACUUGUUUUUUAAUUUCAUUUUUCCAUGAACUUUUUAAAGUAGUCUCCUGCUUCAGUAAAAAGUUAAUUAGCGGCAGGCUUUGUGGUGCAGCAGGUUAAGCCAUGGCUUGGGAUGUCCACAUCCCAUACUGCAAUGCUGGAUUGAGUCCUGGACAUUCUGCUUUCAACCAGCUUCCUUCUGCUGCCUCAGAGGCAGCAGAUAACGUUUCAAAUGCUUAGAACUCUGCCAGCCAUAUGGGAGACCCUGCUGGAGUUCCUGGUUCCUGGUUUCAGCUUGGCCGAGCCCAACCUGUUGAGGGCAUUUGAGGGGUAAGCCAGCAGGUAGAAGAUCUCUCUUUCUUUUUUUGUUUUAAGAUUUAUUUAUUUAUUUGAAAGUCAGAGUUACACAGAGAGAGGAGAGAGAGAGAGGUCUUCCAUCUGCUGGUUCACUCCCCAUUUGGCCACAAUGGCCAGAGCUGUGCCAAUCAAAAGCCCAGAGCCAGGAGCUUCUUCCAGGUCUCCCAUUCAGAUGCAGGGGCCCAAGGACUUGCGCAAUCAUCUAUUGCUUUCCCAGGCCUUGGCAGAGAGCUGGAUUGGAAGUAGAGUAGCCAGGUCUUGAAUCAGUGCCCAUAUGAGAUGCCAGCACUGCAGGCUGCAGCUUUACCUGCUACGCCACAGUGCCAGCCCCAGAAGAUCUCUGUUUCUUUCUUGCUCACUCUCUGUUACUCUACCUUUCAAAUAAAUUAAUACAUCUUUCAAAAUAAAUAAUUUAAAAUAAAUUGCCUUCAAGAUUUUUGGCUUGUCUGGAAGAAUGGAGAUGUUAUUUACUGAAAUGGGAAAAACAUUUGAAGGAGCAAAUUGGAGGCAGGAUCAGGACCUCAGUUUCACUUUUGUUUUUUUAUUUUUCACUUUAUUUGAAAGGCUAAGAGACAGAGAAGAAGAGAAUCUGAUGGACACACAGAGAGAGCAUCCAUCUGCUGGUUCACUCUUCAAAUGCCUGUAACAGCUGAGGCUCGGCCAGGCCAAAGUCAGGGGCCUGGAACUGAAUUCAGGUUUCAAUCUAUAUGGAUGGUAGGGACCCAAGUACUUGAGGCAUCAUCUGCUACCUUCCAGCCUGCUGGAUUCCUCCCAGGAAGCCAUCAUCUGUAUUGCCAGGAAGCUGGAUCACAAGCAGAGUAUCCAGGACUCAAACCAGGCACUCUGAGAUGGGAUGUGGGUUUCCCAAAUGGUGGUUCAACCUCUGCUGCAAAUGCCUACCCCAGGAACUCAGGUUUUUUGUUUUGUUUUUAAGAUUGAUUUACUUAUUUGAAAGGCAAAGUUACAGAGAAGCAGAAGCAGAGAAAGGCAGCUUUACCCGCUGUGCCACAGUGCCAGUCCUAGGAACUUAGUUUUGGUCAUUUUAUGUUGAAGGUGCCUAACAAAGAUAUUGGGGAGUAGCUUGGGCUGGAGACAUGGAUUGGGGAGUCACUGAGUGUAAAUGGUAUUUAAAGCUGUGGGACAAGAUAAGAUCAACAAAGGAACAAGUGUAGAAAAAAAAAAAGAGGUUCAUUGAUUGAGCCUGAGGGGCAGGUUCUUGGCACAUCAGUUAAGACACUGGUUGGGGGUGGGGCCUCUGGCAUUGUGGCACAGCAGGUUAAGCCAUGGCCUGCAACACCAGCAUUCCAUAGGGGUGCUGGUUCAAGUCUUGACUGAUCCAGCUCCCUGCUAAUAACCCUGGGAAGGCAGUAGAGGAUGGCCCACAUGCUUGGGCCCCUGUACCCAUGUGGGAGACCUGGAUGAGGCUCCUGGCUGCUGGCUUCAGCCUGGCCUAUUCCCAGAUGUUGCAGCCAUCUGGGGAGUGAACCAGCAGAUGGAAGAUCUUUAUGUGUAUGUGUGCACACAUGCGUGUCUCCUUUCUAUGUAACUCUGCCUUUCAAAUUAAUUAAUUAAUUUUUUAAAAAGACGUUGGUUAGGAUACUCACAUCUAAGUUCCUGGGUUCCAGCUCUGCCCCCCAAUUCCAGCUUCUUAAUAAUGUGCAUUUUGGGCCGGCGCCGCGGCUCACUAGGCUAAUCCUCCGCCUAGCGGCGCCGGCACACCGGGUUCUAGUCCCGGUCGGGGCGCCGGAUUCUGUCCCGGUUGCCCCUCUUCCAGGCCAGCUCUCUGCUGUGGCCAAGGAGUGCAGUGGAGGAUGGCCCAGGUGCUUGGGCCCUGCACCCCAUGGGAGACCAGGAAAAGCACCUGGCUCCUGGCUCCUGCCAUCGGAUCAGCGCGGUGCGCCGGCCGCAGCGCGCUGGCCGCGGCGGCCAUUGGAGGGUGAACCAACGGCAAAGGAAGACCUUUCUCUCUGUCUCUCUCUCUCACUGUCCACUCUGCUUGUCAAAAAAAAAAAAACAAAAAAAAAAAAAACAAAAAAAAAAAUAAUGUGCAUUUUGGGAGGCAGCAGAUGAUGGUUCAUGCAGUUGGAUCCUUGCCACCCUUUUGGGAGACCUGGAGACUCCUGACCUAGCAUCUGUCUGACCCAGCUUCAGCCAUCCUGGGCAUUUAGGGAGUGAACCUGAAAACAGGGAUCUCUUUUGGUCUGUUUGUCCCUCCUCACUCUGCCUUUCAAAAUACAUUUUUCAAAAAGAUAUAUUUGGCCGGUGCCGCGGCUCACUAGGCUAAUCCUCUGCCUUGCGGCACCGGCACACCGGGUCUAGUCCCGGUCGGGGCGCCGGAUUCUGUCCUGGUUGCCCCUCUUCCAGGCCAGCUAUCUGCUGUGGCCCAGGAGUGCAGUGGAGGAUGGCCCAGGUGCUUGGGCCCUGCACCCCAGGAGAAGCACCUGGCUCCUGCCAUUGGAUCAGCGCGGUGCGCCGGCCACAGCGCGCUGGCCGCGGCGGCCAUUGGAGGGUGAACCAACGGCAAAGGAAGACCUUUCUCUCUCUCUCUCUCUCACUGUCCACUCUGCCUGUCAAAAAAAAAAAAAAAAGAUAUAUUUGUGGGGGCCAGCACUGUGGCCUAGCAGGUAAAGCUGCCACCUGCAGUGCCAGUAUCCCAUAUGGCCCUGGUUCGAGUCUUGACUGCUCCACUUCCCAUCCAGCUGUCUGCUAUGGCCUAGGAAAGCAAUAGAUGAUGGCCCAAGUGCUUGGGACCUUGCACCCACAUGGGGGACCCGGAAGAAGCUUCUGGCUCCUGGCUUCGGAUCAGCCCAGCUUCAGCUGUUGCGGCCAUUUGGGGAGUGAACCAGCAGAUGGAAGACCUCUCUCUCUCUCUCUCUCUCUCUCUCUGCCUCUCCGUCUCUGUGUGUAACUCUUUCAAAUAAAUAAAUCAAUCUUUUAUUAAAUCAAUCUUUUAUUAAAGAUUGAUUUAUUUAUUUGAAAGUUACAGAGAGAGGGAGAGACAGAUCCUCCAUCUACUGGUUCACUCCCCAAAUGACUGAAGUGACCAGAGCUGGGACAGGCCAGGAGCUUGGAACUUCAUCUAGGUCUCCCAGAUGGGUGGCAGGGACCCAAGCACCCAUUGAACCAUCUUCUAGUGCCUUCCCAAGCACAGAGGAAGCCAGAUGAGAAACAGUGUAGCUGGGACUUGAACCAGCACUCAGAUACAGGAUGCCAGCACUGUAGGCAGCAGCUUAGCUCGAUAUGCCACAGUGCUAGCUCUUGAAAGAGUCUUGAAGGCUGCUGGAGAGGAGGAAGGGCAAUGAAGUGGGGGUGGGGGUGAAGAGGGGAUGCAUCAGUACCUGCACUGCAACCAACGGACUUCCAAAGUGAGGAAAGCCAGGCCUCUGUCCUUAGUACUUGGAACCAAUCUUGGAGAGAGAGGAGUGGAUAAUACAGGGCCUUCUGCCUGCGCCCUUAGAGGCCUGCCUAGGUUGCUCCUCUUCACCUUGGGCUUCUCUGAGCCCAUUGUGGAGCAGAAAAUGGCCCAGUGGGCAGAAUGGGCUCCUUGAGGGCACAGGUGAUGCUGUUCCCCACUUCUUGGCUCUCAUGAUUCCAGUCUUGGAAACUGGAGUAGGGGGUACAGGCCUACUCCUCACCCUACUGUCUAAGUCCCGAGGCCUAAGGGUCCAGCAUAGAGUGGGUUAAGGAUAAGGGUCCUGGAACCUUUGCCUCUGGAGUGGGUGGAACUGUCGUCAAAGAGCCUUGUCUGACUGCCUAUCUCUCCAGGCAGUCCAGGCUGCCUAUCUCUCCCAGAGCAGCUGUGAGGCAGACAGAUUGUUCUGGGAGGGAGGCAAGGGCUUGGCUGAUGGCGGGAAGGAUUUGAGGAUGUAGGGGGCCCAGGCUCCCUGGGGAUCCUUUCUGACCCAAUAACUACCUUCAAGGCUGUGUCUGGGGGCUGGAGGGGGCAUAACUCAAGUCUGGACAUGGCAGAGGGGAGGUCCCUUGACCCAAAGAAUAGGGAUUGGUUGCUGCUGAAUCGACUUAGGGAGGGGUUAACGGGAACAUUUCCAUUUCUGACUCCUGUGUCUCAGCAAGUGUGCAGAGAUCACACCAUUGCACAUGUCUGCACAGGUGUCUGUGUGAGCACACAUACCUUUGUGUAGGUGCCCCUUGGAGGGGACAAGUAGGGAAAGCCAGUUGGGAAGGAGCCUGACAUUUGUUGAGCUCCUACUGUAUAUGGGCCAGGCUCUAGGUUAGACAUUCCUGAGUAACUGACGCCAUCUUGGCACGGCCUUCUCUUUCACCAACUUACACUGUUUCAUAGCCAUCACAGAAAAAAAUGAGGAAGCCAAGCCUCCAAAAUCGGGGGCAGAGGCCACGAUCACUCAGCAGGCAGUGGUGGGACACUGACUCUGACAAAUCCCAAACUGUGACUUUUCCCUCCUGGCUGUGAGUGUGUCCUGAGUAAUGCUCAGCUGGGAAAACAAACAGGCACUCUAAGGCCCAGCCUCUGAAUUGUGAAGGCUGAAGCUCUGUGGUUCCAGGGUGAGUGGGCUCUGUGAGAGGUCCUGGUUGACAGGCUGCAGGAGGUCAGAACAGAAAGGAGAGAGGACCGUUGCUGGGUUGGAGCUGGCCAAGAGCAGCAGUGGGAGAGGCUUCAAAAAGGGGCUUCAGGGGGCAGGCAUUUGGCCUAGUGGUGAAGAUGCAUAUGCCAAGACUGGCAUUGUGGUACAGUGGGUUAAGCUGCUGCCUGUGAUGCCAACACCCCAUAUGAGUACUGGUUCAAGUCGUGGCUGCUCCACUUCUGAUCCAUUUAAUGUUCCUGGGAAAGCAGGAGGGAGAACAGAAUAAAGCUGCUGGCUUCAGCCCAGCCCAGCCCCAGCCACCCAACCAUUGUGGUCAUUUGAUCUGGAGAGUGAAUCAGUGGAUGGAAGAUCUCAAUCUCUGUUUCUCUCUGUGUGUCUCUCUCUGUCUCUCUGUCUGUCUGUCUCUCUCUUUCUGCAUGUGUGUAUAACCUUGCCUUUCAAAUAAAUAAAUAAAAAUUUUUUUUGACAGGCAGUGUGGAUAGUGAGAGAGAGAGAGACAGAGAGAAAGGUCUUCCUUUGCCGUUGGUUCACCCUCCAAUGGCCGCCGCAGCCGGUGCACCGCGCUGAUCCAAAGGCAGGAGCCAGGUACUUAUCCUGGUCUCCCAUGGGGUGCAGGGCCCAUGUACUUGGGCCAUCCUCCACUGUACUCCCUGGCCACAGCAGAGAGCUGGCCUGGAAGAGGGGCAACCAGGACAGAAUCCGGCACCCCGACCAGGACUAGAACCCGGUGUGCCGGCGCCACAAGGCGGAGGAUUAGCCUAGUGAGCCACGGCACUGGGCAAAUAAAUAUUUUUUUAAGAUGCAUGUGUUCCAUAUAGGAGUACCUGGGUUUGAUACCUGGCUCUGGCUUCUGAUUCCAGCUUCCUGCUAAUAUAGACCUCAGGAGGCAGCAAGUGAUGUCUCAAAUUGUUGAGUCCUUGUCACCCAUGUGAGAGAUGAGAUCUAGUUUGAGUUCCCAGCUGCUUGCUUCAGGCAUCUGGGGAGUGAACAGCAGAUGGAAGCUCUUGAAUAAAUUUCAAAAAAAUGUGUAAAGGAUUGGAUGGCGAGAUGGAGUGUGAGAAGGGAACGUAAUGAGGAAACUCCUGUGUCCUUCAAGGGCUUUCCCACACUUCCUUUCACGGAAUGUUUCCAAGGGUCUUGUGAGCUAGGUUUCAUUGUCAUCCCCAUUUCCUAGAUGAUGAGAUGAGGGUUGGAGAGAAGGAAGCAGUAUGUUCAGAAUCACGUUACUGGUAACUGGAACACUGGAACAGCUCAGGUCUGAGUCCCUCAUGUCUUAAAACUCAAACAUGCCCAAGAAGACAUACAAAAUCACAGUGUGUUUGUGUGCAGAGCCUGGGGUCUGGAGUCUGGAGUCCUGUCUCUUACUGAUUUCCCAUGGGACUCAGGGCCAUGCAUUUCCUCCCCGAGCCUGAGUUUCUCUACUGUAAAAUUGGCAUGCGGCUGUCUUUUGGAGACUGAGAGAUAUUGGCAAAGCCCACAGAGAACCUAUGCCUAGGACCCACCCCCUCCUUGGAGGGGCUCCAGGAGCAUCUGCAUAUGUUGCUCCUGAGACUAACAGGCACACGGGGUCGAAGGGGACGUGCUGAGUACUGAGCACAUGCUGAGUGUGUGCUGUCACCAGGGAUCAGCAUCUGUUCAGUGUAAGGUGUAAGGAUAAGGCCCAUGAAGGAGAUGAAUGAGACAGGGGCUCCACUCAUGGAAUAGGUGGAGAUAAACAAGGCUUCAGUGGAACUUACUGGAGUAGGAUGAGGAAAGCAGUAAGAGCAGGUCUAAAGCCUGGUUAUAGGGGGCAAGAGUCAAGGAGGACAAGAGAAGUUUUACAGAUGCAUCGAGAUGCAACCCAGCUGGGGCAAACGGCUCCCACAUGAGUGGCAGGGGCUCAACUUCUUGAGCCAUUAUUUGCUCCCUCCCAGGAUGCAUUAACAUGAAGCUGAAUCAGAAACUGGUACCUACAUUGUUGUUGUAGUACAUCAGGUUAACCCCUACCUGUGACAUCACCCUCCUAUAUCUGAGCAUCUGUUCAUGUCCAGCUGCUCUGAUCCUGAUCCAGCUCCCUGCUAAUGUGCCUGGGAAAGCAGCAGAAGAUGGCUCAAGUACUCCCACAUGGGAAACCUGGGUGGCGUUCCAAGCUCCCGGCUUUGGCCUGCCCGGCCUUGGCUGUUGGGGCCAUUUGGGGAGUGAAUACAGCAGAUAGAAGAUCUCUCUCAUUCUCUCCCUGACACUCUGCCUGUCAAAUAAAUAAAAAUCUUUUAUGUAUGUGCUCUGUAUCUCUGUGUAUUGGUGUCUUUGUGGGCACAUACAUUUGUGCAUCUGUGUCUGUGUACCUGUGGGUGUCUGCUGCUGCCUUUUCUGUUUCUCUUUGGGCCUUGGUCCCUGAUGCUGGCAGAUGGAGGAUUCUCUGGGCCUUUGGAUGGUUCUCUUCCCUUCCCUGGGCCUCCAUUUCCUCACUUGAAUGUAUGAAGGACUGGAGUGCCAUCAUUUUGAAGGACCCUUGCAUACCUGACUAUCCUUAACGUCACCAUUUAUGAUAUGGUGGAACGACUUCUUCCCAAGAAGGUCUAAGCAAGAGUCAACACCUUAAAGCUGCAGUGGAGGCCCUGGAGUUAGACUUCAGAAAUAAAAAGGCCCCAGGCCAGCCUGCACUGGCUUCAGGAGAGCCGCACAGCUCCUGGUCUGAAGCAAAAGCUGUCAGAAUUUGAGGCCAGAUCCAAGGGCCCAGAUGGCGUCCCCCAGCCCUGUGUUGGCCAGAGUCUCCAGGUGAUCUGCAGUAAGGUGAGGGACUCCCAGCCCCGCUCCCUGUGGGGGCACUGGGAAGGCAGAGGACUGGAAGAACAGCCACCCAGGAAGAAAGCCUUGGGCGGGAAGCAUCUUCAGGUCCUCUUCUGGCCCCUGCAGUCUCUUGAUAAGCAGAAAGUUUUGGGCCCCCCACCCUGAUAGCCCCACAUCCACUUAUCAGGGGCCCCAGACUACCCCACCCAAACCCAGACUGCUGCAGCCCACACCCUGAUCACAGUAGCCCCCACCCCCGGCCAGGGGCUGCCUGAGAGCUCUCUCUCUCCUCAACCUGCAUGACCCCUAAGUUCUGCCCAUGCUCUCCUUUGGAGUGGGCCCCCAGGAACUAGGCAGAAGUCUAGGCAGAAGACAUGAAGCUUGGCCUUGGUGAACAAACCCUCAUGUCAGUAAAGGGGCUUGAACUGUUGGUGGGGUUUCUGGGUUGAGGUGGACUGGUAGGAAGGUGACAGGAUGGAAAAGGGGGCCACAGGGAGGCAGGAGCGGACAUCAUAAUUCCUCACCUGGUUAGAGCGCCUGAGUUUAUGACACUUUCUCACUUGAUUCUGAGGCUGGCAGCAUGUGGCCCAAAGUCACAGAGCUGGGAUGGGCACUUGGAGCAGCAGCUAGAUGCUGCCUGGGCUCCUGCAUCCAUGUCAGUGUCUGGGUUUGAGUCCUGGCUCCACACCCAGAUCCAGCUUUCCUGCUAGAGCUCACCCUGGGAGGCAGCAGGUGAUAGCCAAAGUCCAUGGGUUCCUACCGCCAACAUGGGAGACCUGGAUUGAGUUUCAGGUACCUGGCUUAGGCCUGGCCCAGCCCCAGCUACUGUGGGUAUCUGGGGAAUGAAACAACAGAUGGAAGAUCUCUGUCUCUUUCUGCCUUGCAAAUAAAACAGAAGUCACAGAACUGAAUGUUAUAGAGUUGAGACUGUCACUCAGGGCCUGUCACUUCUAAAUCUGCCUCUUAGUGGUUCUGAGCUACCUUCAAGGAUAUUCGAUGAGGGGCUGGCAUUAUGGCAUAGAAAGUUAAGCUGCUGCCUGCUCUGCCAACAUCCCAAAAAAGCACAUGGUCAAAUCCUGGCUGCCCCACUUAAGAUCCAGCUCUCUGAUAAUGCACCUGGGAAAACAGUAGACGAUGGCCCAAGUGCUUGAAUCCUGCCACUCAUGGGGGUGGGGGGGACCAAAUGAAGCUCCUGGCUCCUGGCUGUGGCCUGUCCCAGCCCUGGUUGUUGUGGCCAUCUGGGGAGAGAACCACCAGAUGGAAGAUCUGUCUUUCCCUCUCUCUGUAACUGCCUUUCAGGUGAAUAAGUAAUUUUUUUAAAAGGAACAUUUCAUGAGGGUAGGUAUUGUGGUGCAAUGGGUUAAAGCUGCCACUUGGAACACCUGCAUCCCAUAUCAGACUGCUGGUUUAAGUCCCAGCUUCUCCAUGCUUCUGACUGAUCUUGCUAAUGUUUCUGGGAGGCAGCAGGUGAUAGCCCAAGUACUUGGGUUCCAGAUACCCACCUGGAAGACCUGGGUUGAGUUCCUGGUUCUUGGAUUUGCCUUGGCCCUGCCCUGGCCCAACCCUGGCUGUUGCAGGCAUUUGGGUAGUAAAUUGGCAGAUGGAAGAUCUCUCCCUCUCAGUCACUGUGCUUUUCAAAUGAAUAAAUAUGAAUAAGUUUUUAAAAGAAUAUUCCAUGGCUUUCAGGUGCAAUAAUAGGCCUCACCUAUGGCAUCAGGGUGGAAAAGGGUGAGCAUUAACUUAAUUGAAGCCCUUCUAGGGAAUGGCCCCAGCACUGCUCUCAGUGACUUACCCAUAGCUGUUCAUGGAGGUCUUACAGCUCUGUGAACUCGGGACUUGAUAUUUCUACUUACUAAUGAGAACAGGGAGGGUCCGUGAGAGAAGUGGUUUGCCUGGGAGAGUCACAGCUUUGUGUGUCUGCCUGCCUGGGCCAAGGUCCCCCCCCACACACACACCAUUAGGCUCAGCUUGAUGCCAGUCACUCCACAGGAGCAUGGGAGAGAUGCAUUAGUGAAUACAAGAGAAUCUCAGCGUUAUUUGCUUAACGUGAAUAAUCAUUCACUCAACAGGGGAAGACUUUUCUGCACAAACUUGGCAAUUUAAAGACAGGAAGGGUUAACUAGCCAAGGAAGGAGGGAAGAUGAUGUUGAGCAGAGGGUAGCACAUAUACCCCAGUUCUGUGGCAGAAAGAAACAGAACACCUCCAAAGAAAGGAAGUAAGACGCAGUCUGCACUCCUACUCCCCUCUCGUGUCUGGUCCACCCUUGAAGGAGAGUGACUGCCUCCUGAACACUGGCUGCGUUACCCAGAACAGGAAAGUGGAAGGAGCAUUCCCAGAGAGGGAGUCUAAACAGCAGAGCCUUGCUUUGAGGACCAAAGAACUGCACAGCGCCAACUCUCACUGUAAGUACUUGGGGCCCCUACCCUCUUUCUUAGGCUGGCUCCAUGAAAGCUGGGGAUUCAGCUGACCACAAAUCUCCCAGCAGAACACCCCCGAUGCUGGAGACUUUGCCAGGGCCUUGGUAGGCAAAGAUUCUCCCUGCCUGCCUAGUUCUGGGCUCCUUAGGCAGACAGGGCAACAUAGACAGGGUCUGGGAAAUUUAGGCUGAGGGCUCCUAUGAGUUUGCCCCCACCCCCCGCCCGAUUCCAGAGACGCAGCUGCCUGGACCCUCCCCAUUCUAUAUUCAGCUAACAUUCUCUGUCACCCACCCACAAAGAAAACACAAAACAAAGGAACAGGAAAAAAAAAAACUCAAAAAACAAAUGGAAAAAAACCCAACCAGGCCUCUGACCAGCAAUUAAGCUCUAAAGCAGGGGCUGGGACUGUUGUUUAUCUUCCUCAGCCCAGCAGACAGAUGACCCGCUUCUUGGGGGUGGGAGUGAAAGAUGGACCUUAGGUUUAGUAAGGUCUUCAAAAGAUUGAAUGAGGGACCAUGUUGUGGUGCAGUGGGUAAGUUACCACUUGCAACGCCAGCAUCUCAUAUAGGAGCACCGGUUUGUAUCCCAGCUGCUCUGCUCCAGCUCCCUGAGAAGCAGCAGAUGGCCCAAGAACUUGGGUCCCUGCCUACCCAUGUGGGAGACCUGGAUGUAGUUCCUGGCUCCUGGUUCAGCCUGGUCCAACUCUGACUCUUGGGGGCACUUGGGGAGUGAGCCAGCCAGUGAAAGAUCUGUCAUUCUACUUUUCAAAUUUGUGAAAAUAAGCCUAAUGAGGGGCAGGCACUUGGCCUAGCGGUUAAGCCCUCAGAAUGCCCACAACCUAUACCAGAGUGCCUGGGUUUGAUUCUGAUCCUGAUUCCAUCCUUGCUGAGGUAUUCUGGGAAGCAGUGGUGAUGACUUAAGUACUUGCCUUCCUUGCCACCCAGUGAAAGACUUGAAUUGAGUUCCUAGUUCCUGGGCACUUGGGGAGUGUACCGAUGAAUGGGGAACUGUCUUGAAUUAAAGUAAUAAUAAAGGCCCAAAGAGGAGAAGGAUCAGGGGCCCAGCAGGGGAAGGGUUAAGAGGCAGGGCCUUCUACAAGGGGGGAGGGGGAGCCCCACCCAGGGGAGGAGCUGAUGGAUUAAAAAGCAAGCAGCUUGAGAGCAGAGCUUGGGCUAGGGCUUCCCUGGUAUGCAGUGCCAGCUCCAGAACUCUCCAUGUCAAGCUUCCUGUGUCCGCGGCAGGACCCUGGCUGGGAUAUCAUCAUAUACUGUAAGUUUGAGAUGAGACACUACAGUAUAGAUGAUGUACUAGUAAGGGCACCCCCAGCUCUGGAACCUGAAGAAGACGCAAGGAAGAUGCUGCAAGCCCAGAGGCUCACCACUCAGUCCAUCACAGCCUGCCCACUCCCCGUGCACUUGGGAAUGGCGAGGAAACCGUUACCAUUACUGAGUUUAGUAAUGGUAACGGUUCUCUUGCUGUACCCAGAAAAUGUGCCAGGAAGAGCACUCAAGAUUCUGGAGCAGAAUACUGGGAGGGAGGGACACUCCAGCUCCUAAAAAGGAGGUGGGGUAAGGAAGAUGGGUUUAUUUUCUCUUUCCUGUUCUAAAAAAAAUAAAGAUGAUAACCACAA